AUAACGACUCUCGGCAACGGAUAUCUCGGCUCUCGCAUCGAUGAAGAACGCAGCAAAAUGCGAUACUUGGUGUGAAUUGCAGAAUCCCGUGAAUCAUCGAGUUUUUGAACGCAAGUUGCGCCUGAAGCCAUCCGGCCGAGGGCACGUCUGCCUGGGUGUCACGU
rnacentral:rRNA from 1 species